UGGGCAAUAAACUGAGUAACCCACCUGAGUGCCCCAACUUUUUCUUUCUCUUCUUAAGUGAGAUAGGAAGGCGAGAGGAUGCAGGAGUUGACCAGUUGCCCUUCUUUCAGGCUAAAAUAGGAGUCUGGUAAAGUCUUUUCCCUUGAAGAAUACGUCUUUGUUAUGGAAAAUACUGUGUGUAUUUUAAAAUAGUUACUUUUCUCUUCCCCCUGCCAGAAACAUGAGAGCAUUAUUCUUAGAGCUUUACCAUGGGAAUGUGGGGGGUUCCUUGAGGUACCCCCAGAGACUGUCAACAGGAGUUCUCAUUUUCAACUUAGUCCACAGUCAAUCUUCAACAGUUCAUCAAAAUUGCUAGGUAGGUGUUCCUACCAGUUUAUAAUUUCAGCAACAUCUACUCUGUGCAAGUCAACCUCAGCUGUGAUUCUCUGUAUUCAAUUCUGACUCUGGGUUUGUUUAUCUUUCCAGGUUUUAGACUGAGAGCUUUUCCUGUGAAUUCAAGUCUCUAACGGGCCCAAGAAAAGUCAUUCAUUUUCAUUUUGUUCAGUUUUUUUUCUUGUUCUCAUGAUGAAUAGAUACUUCUUAAGCUCUUUAUAUGUCAGAGCUGAAACAAGCUAGUUGUUUCUUUUGAAUAUAAUAAAAAAACAUGACGCCCUGAUAUCAUUGUCAAACAGACAAUAGUGAAAGUAAUGCCAUGGAAUAUAACAAAAAGUUUUUGCACCAUCUGAAAGUUAUAUGAAAAGAGAAAAAAUAAGUCAGGCUGGAUUUCUUUAUUAAAUAAUCUACACUGGUCCCUGAAAUGUUAAUGAUGAAGAAGGCACUUCUUCGGGCUUCAUGUAAGAUCCUGGCGAGUAUGCAAGGCUGGCAUUAUUGCAGGGACCAGAUCCUGGGGACACCAUGGAUGUUAGUUACUUUUACAAGAAUCUGCUUGAGAUGGGGAAGGCCGAAGAUGAGCAGAAACCAUCCCCUCUUUCAGUAGUGACAGAGCUAUUCAUGCCCCUAGCCGACCUGAGGUUUUUCAGCAGCAUCGAGGCCACACAUUUCCACCGACCUUUAUGAUGCAGGCAGUGUGAACUUUCCGUGUGUCCUUAAGAUGGUGCCCUAGCAUCCUGGUAACGUCUUGAUUCCGUGGAAGCUACUCACAGAACGAAGACCCACAGUAGGCUUUGCCUGCGUGCCGGAGCUCCAGCUCUUCCAAAUGCUCUGAAAUCACUUACGAUAAAUCUCUUACUGCUUGAAACACUCAGAGUGGAUUCCCUUUCCCAGACCAAACACUGAUGAAAUCGCCCUGUGGCUGGAGGUAAGAGGCUGAACAGUAAACACUGUGGUUCAGUGGGCGCUCGUGCUCUCCUACCAUGCUUAGCUUGUUCAUGGUCACUGCUGUGCAUCUGCUGUGUUCUGCACGCUCUCCUUUUCUGAACGUAGUAUUAUUGGCACUAUGUUGAAUAGAUUAUGGUAGGGUCUAAUACAGAUAGCCGGUCAUUUGGAAGUUACAAGAACCUAAGUGAAUCGUAUCCAGAAGUCUUAGUUUUGAAAGCCCACUUGUGUUCCAUUUAGGGAACUACUGGAUGUGAUCUCUACCCACCUCUGCUGCCUGAAUCCCACCCCAGGAGCCACGGGGCCACUCAGCUGACAGAGAGGGUUAGCCGGAGCAGAACCCAAGGCCCGCUUCAGCCUGUGCACGCCCUCCAGCAUGAGGAGGGCCCCGAUGUUGUCCCCACCCUGGCCGCCCCCUAAAGACCAGUGUUAUCUGCUAGCAAAGGAGUUCCUGAAGGAGGAGCCAAGGUAGUUUCUACCACUGGAGGGCCAGGCCCUGGCUAUCAGAACCCACUGCUGUGGGCUGGCACCGAGGAGGAGGAGGGGCACCUAGAGUUAGAAGAGGAACACUGGACAGAUGCACUGGAGACGUGAUCCCCUGUGUCCCCCACCCACCUUCCACACCUAAUCUGUGCCACAGCCUGCCGGUCUGCCCCAUUUCU
ensembl:lncRNA